UCAAGUGUCUUAAGGGCAUUUGGUGGAUGCCUUGGCAUGCACAGGCGAUGAAGGACGUGAUACGCUGCGAUAAGCGUCGGGGAGGUGCGAAUACCCUUUGAUCCGACGAUUUCCGAAUGGGGCAACCCACCUUAGAUGACUAGAAAAUCUGUUUUGUUGGAGCAACGCUGGAUGGGUUUACACCCAUACAGACCGCUAGGUCGUCGGCCCAUGUGGGCCGCCCCCGCGGAGCGCCAGCAUUCCUCUGGAAUGCGUACGGCGCGUGAGCGAGAACAGCACAGCUUUCUAGUCAUCAUAAAUAAGGUAUCUAACCUUGAAUACAUAGGGGUUAGAAGCGAACCUGGGGAACUGAAACAUCUAAGUACCCAGAGGAAAGGACAUCAAACGAGACUCCGCUAGUAGUGGCGAGCGAACGCGGACCAGGCCAGUGGCUUUUGUGAAUAAAGUGGAACGAGUUGGAAAACUCGACCGAAGUGGGUGAUAGUCCCGUACACGUAGAAUAGCAGAAGUCCUUGAGUAGGGCGGGACACGUGAAAUCCUGUCUGAACAUGGGUCGACCACGAUCCAAGCCUAAGUACUCGUGCAUGACCGAUAGCGAACCAGUACCGUGAGGGAAAGGUGAAAAGCACCCCGACGAGGGGAGUGAAACAGUACCUGAAACCGGAUGCCUACAAACAGUUGGAGCCCAAGGUUUGUCCUGGGUGACAGCGUACCUUUUGUAUAAUGGGUCAGCGACUUAGUGUAUCGAGCAAGCUUAAGCCGGUAGGUGUAGGCGCAGCGAAAGCGAGUCUGAACAGGGCGUUCAGUUCGAUGCAUUAGACCCGAAACCAAGUGAUCUAGCCAUGAGCAGGUUGAAGGUACGGUAACACGUACUGGAGGACCGAACCCAUAUCUGUUGCAAUAGAUCGGGAUGACUUGUGGCUAGGGGUGAAAGGCCAAUCAAACUUGGAGAUAGCUGGUUCUCCGCGAAAUCUAUUUAGGUAGAGCGUCGACCGAAUACCCCCGGGGGUAGAGCACUGGAUGGGCUAUGGGGACUCACCGUCUUACUGAUCCUAACCAAACUCCGAAUACCGGGGAGUACUAAUCGGCAGACACACGGCGGGUGCUAACGUCCGUCGUGGAGAGGGCAACAACCCUGACCACCAUCUAAGGUCCCUAAGUUAUGGCUAAGUGGGAAAGGAUGUGAGGAUCCCAAAACAACCAGGAUGUUGGCUUAGAAGCAGCCAUCAUUUAAAGAAAGCGUAACAGCUCACUGGUCUAAAUAAGGGUCUUUGCGCCGAAAAUGUACCGGGGCUCAAGCCAUACACCGAAGCUGUGGAUGCACGUAUGUGCGUGGUAGCGGAGCGUUCCGUAAGCCUGUGAAGGGACAGUCGUGAGACAUCCUGGAGGUAUCGGAAGUGAGAAUGCUGACAUGAGUAACGAUAAAGGGAGUGAGAGACUCCCUCGCCGAAAGUCCAAGGGUUCCUGCUUAAAGUUAAUCUGAGCAGGGUUAGCCGGCCCCUAAGGCGAGGCCGAAAGGCGUAGUCGAUGGGAACCACGUUAAUAUUCGUGGGCCUGCAGGUAGUGACGGAUCGCGUGUGUUGUGAGGUCUUAUUGGAUUGAUCUUGCAGCGAAGCGGUUCCAGGAAAUAGCUCCUGCAUAUAGACCGUACCCUAAACCGACACUGGUGGACUGGUAGAGAAUACCAAGGCGCUUGAGAGAACUGCGUUGAAGGAACUCGGCAAAAUGCACGCGUAACUUCGGAAGAAGCGUGACCUCACUAUGGGCAACCAUAGGGGGGUGGCACAGACCAGGGGGUAGCGACUGUUUACCAAAAACACAGGGCUCUGCGAAGUCGCAAGACGACGUAUAGGGUCUGACGCCUGCCCGGUGCUGGAAGGUUAAGAGGAGAGGUGCAAGCCUUGAAUUGAAGCCCCAGUAAACGGCGGCCGUAACUAUAACGGUCCUAAGGUAGCGAAAUUCCUUGU
rnacentral:rRNA from 1 species